rnacentral:rRNA from 1 species
GCAACGAGCGCAACCCUUGUCUCUAGUUACCAUCAUUGGUUGGGGACUCUAGAGAUACUGCCAAGGUUAACUUGGAGGAAGGUGGGGAUGACGUCAAGUCCUCAUGGCCUUUAUGUCCAGGGCUACACACGUGCUACAAUGGGCGGUACAAAGGGUCGCAAACCCGUAAGGGGGAGCAAAUCCAUCGAAAGCCGUCCUCAGUUCGGAUUGAGGUCUGCAACUCGACCUCAUGAAGCUGGAAUCGCUAGUAAUCGCGGAUCAGCAUGCCGCGGUGAAUACGUUCCCGGGCCUU